UGACGCUGACCCCGCCCCUCAGGGCCGAGUGGACAAAACAAGUAAACCUGAACAACAGAGACACAACAAGAUCAUCAGACACAUGCAGAGCAAACACCAGGAGAAAACACAGCGGGAGGCGAGCCGCCAUGCAGCCUGCUGAAGAGGAGAAGUGGAGCGCACGGAUGGAAUUAGAUAUUUAUUUCCUCUGGAGCUGUGCUGGUUUCUCUCGUUAACCGCAGGAGAGUCGCUUGGGGCCAGGCAGAAAACGCACAAAAGCAAAAUGCAAUCAAAGUCAAAUGAAAGACAGCAGCAUUUUCUCUCUCUUUUUUUUUUUUUUUCUCCUCCCGUCUUCCUCCUCUGGUCUCAGACAUGCCUUCGGAAACAUCACACCCUUUCCAGACAACUUUGCCGCCUGGCUCUCCUCAGGGGCCGAACAUUUUCACACUCCCGUGUCCCGACACCUUUUUUAGCAUGCAGCCUCCACACAAAGGGCCGGCUGAUUGAUAAGUGACAGAUCCAGCUGCCUUUGUCCUGGCUAAUAAAGUGGGACAGCUCCUGUAUUUAUAGUGAGGCGGGUGACACACGCAGCGCCGACGCUCCUGUUUGAGUUUCAGCUUCUGUCCCUCGGGAUCAAGACAAAAAAAAACAAACACUUUUAAUGCAUUUUAUCGUUCUCAUCAUUUCUUAUGAAUGCCCUUUUGUGGUGACAUUUAGGAUAUUAACAGCUUUUAGGCUUACUUUAAAGAGAAAUAUCCUGAAAAUGUCAAAAAAAAAAAAAAAAAAAAAA